rnacentral:rRNA from 1 species
CAAAGAGAAGCAAAGCCGCGAGGUAGAGCAAAUCUCAAAAAAACAAUCUCAGUUCAGACUGCAGGCUGCAACUCGCCUGCACGAAGUCGGAAUUGCUAGUAAUCGUAGGUCAGCAUACUACGGUGAAUACGUUCCCGGGCCUUGUACACACCGCCCGUCAAACCAUGAGAGUUGGCAACACCCGAAGUCGGUAGUCUAACCGCAAGGAGGACGCCGCCGAAGGUGGGGUUGAUGAUUAGGGUUAAGUCGUAACAAGGUAAC